rnacentral:tRNA from 1 species
GAAAAGUAUUUUAGAAAAAUAAAUUGGCCUUCUAAGCCAAUUUAAGCAAGUUCAAGCCUAGCACUUUUCG